UACGUGGGUGGCGAGCGUUAUCCGGAUUUACUGGGCGUAAAGUGGGCGCAGGCGGCUUUUCAAGUCGGGUGUAAAAUCUCCCAGCUCAACUGGGAGCGACCAUCCGAUACUGCUAAGCUAGAGGACAGCAGAGGGAGGUAGAAUUCCCGGUGUAGUGGUGGAAUGCGUAGAUAUCGGGAGGAAUACCAGUGGCGAAAGCGGCCUCCUGGGCUGUUUCUGACGCUGAUGCCCGAAAGCGUGGGGAGCAAACAGGAUUAGAUACCCGCGUA
rnacentral:rRNA from 1 species